rnacentral:rRNA from 1 species
UGGCCCCAAGUCAGGCGAGGCCACCCGCCGAAUUUAAAGCAUAUCAAUAAGCGGAGGA